AGGAAAGGUUCUUUAGAAAACAACUGCAAAAGCAGCUUCUCAUAAGCUGUUUUUUCAAUGUCAGGCUGGAUCAAGGCAAGGUCACUUUCAGCCAUUACAAUCAACCCAACAAAGACCGCAAUUAACAAAAUUUGUAUUAUGAUAUCAGUACCCAUCACAAUAUCCUCCUGUCCUUUUGCUACUGAUUUGCAGGCAACAACGUAUUGUCUUAG
rnacentral:misc_RNA from 1 species